UCUCUCUCUGACAAAUAAAUAAAUAAAAUCUUAAAAAAAAAAAAAAUAAGAAUAUGAUCUUUGUAUACAAUCCAGAGGCUAUUGAGUGUGUCAGUUAUUUUCAAAUGUAUCCAUUAACCAUUCAGAAGUAAAGAAGAAUGAGAGAGGGAGGAGGGAA